rnacentral:rRNA from 1 species
UAACGCGUAGGUAACCUACCUCAUAGCGGGGGAUAACUAUUGGAAACGAUAGCUAAUACCGCAUAAGAGAGACUAACGCAUGUUAGUAAUUUAAAAGGGGCAAUUGCUCCACUAUGAGAUGGACCUGCGUUGUAUUAGCUAGUUGGUGAGGUAAAGGCUCACCAAGGCGACGAUACAUAGCCGACCUGAGAGGGUGAUCGGCCACACUGGAACUGAGACACGGUCCAG